GUCAAUCUCUUAAGGUGCCUAAUUCAUAAACUUAAUCACAGGUAUGUAUGCAUAGGAAAAAACAGUAUGUAUAAGGUUUGUUAUUAUCUGUGGUUUUAGACAUCCACUGGGGGUCUGGUUUUAGAUAUCCACUGUAUCCCCUGUGGAUAAGGGGGUAACUGCUGUAUCUUUUAGUAGAAGCAAGAGCAGCCCCAUGUGGGGGCUAACACUGGACACUGGUCAGUUUCAGCUCCUCAUGCAAAGUGAGGGUAUCCUUGUGGCUCCAGCCCUGGGGCCCCCUGCGGUCACCUUUGGGCAUCCCCUGAUGCAGGUUGGUCAGGACCUGCCCAGCUUGCACCAGCAGGUUCUGCGUCUCCAUCUGACCUGGCAGACCUUGCACUCUUCCACCCACUGUGGAGGACUAAGUGUCUUGAACUUCCAGAACACAGCCAGGGCCCCAUACUUGGCCUGGGGAGAAGUUGGGAGGCCUAAGCAGUGGUUGGGGGCCACAGCAAGGCAUUGCACACAGUGGUUUUUAUUUCUUUCAGGGAUUUAUUAAGGCAUUGAGCACAGUGUAAUUUCUAGCCAAGUGAAAUGAAUCCAAGGAAAUAUAUCAGGACCUGAGGGAUGUUUUUUUAAAGUUACUGGAAAGGAUGAUGAGCUGAGAGCACGUGUACAGCCACGCCUGUGCGCAGCGCCCACUCUGUGCAAUAAACAUGUUCUGCCCAUGUUCCUCAGUCAGGAGGUUCAGGCUCCCGGAGAGCACCUGAGGGUUCCAUCACUUUGGUGCCCAACAAGCACAUGCCCCCCAACCUGGUGCCAAGAGGCAGGAAUGACCCCCAUACCACAUAGCUGCAGGAAAGCAUCCACGGAUGGAGGGACUCAGCUGGCCUGGCCGCAGUGUGGAGCACAGAGGUAUGAGGCAAGCAAGGGCAGAUCUGAGAGCCUGUAAUGCUAGGCAGGUGCAGCUGGUGCGAGGCGGGCUCCCACCAGGUGUAAGGAAGGUGGGAGCCACAGCCUCUUCCUGGGCCCAGAAGCAGCCGGCGCCAGGAGAUGCAGGCCCAGGGAAUCUGUCUAAGGCAGCUGGGUCUGCACCAGCCUUCUUUCCACUCACAACUCACUGCUCCUGGGAGAGCAGGAGGGGCACACCUUUAAAGAGAAACUGAUAAGGGAGGAAAGGCAGGAGGAGAUGAGGCCAGCCCCACUGAUGACACCUUGGGCCAGGCCUCACAGCUGCAGGCAUCAGCCGGAAACUCCAGGCUGCUCAUGGUCACUGGCGGUGCUGAACUGUCUCUCCACUUUCUUUUGGUCCUUGAUCUUGAGUCCAAUGUCCACUCUCUUCUCAAAGAAGUUCACCAGCACGGACUCCGUCAGGAUGGAGGCCAGGAUCUGCUCAAAGGAGAUGCACCAGUCGGUGUCGACGGUGCCGCCGAUGCGCGCUGUGGGGCUGCAGGCCUCCCCGCCCACCAGCACCGUGUCGUCUGCAAGGUCUUCACAUUGCAGGGAGCCCGUGCUGACCACCGAGUAGGAGGACAUGGACAUGUCGUCUUUGGUUUCAUCGUCAGACAGCAGCUGGGAGGGUGAGCCCUGUCCCUCGCCGCUGCCCCCCUCCACCACCACCUGGCUCUCCUGUGGGGCUUUUCCGAGGUGUGUGUCUCCGCCUGCUUUGGCUUGGGGGUCUCCUGCAGCUGGGGGCUGAAGCUCCCUGGCUGCGUCCUGAUGCAGUUCGGGUGCUGGUGGCUCGUCCUCCUCAGUGGCACAGUCCCUGGGCUUCCUGCCUGUGCGGGCUGAGAACUUCUUCCCCACCUCUCCGAUGCGGAGCAGGAGGCUGGCCACGGUGGCGAUGGCGUGGUACAGGUCCUGCUCCAUGGGGUCUUCACUGAACAUGUUGUAAAGCGUCUUGCACAGCUCAAUGAACUGCUCCUUUU
rnacentral:lncRNA from 1 species